rnacentral:rRNA from 1 species
UACAGAGGUGGCAAGCGUUGUUCGGAAUUACUGGGCGUAAAGGGCGCGUAGGCGGCCUACUAAGUCAGACGUGAAAUCCCCCGGCUUAACCUGGGAACUGCGUCUGAUACUGGAAGGCUUGAGGAUGGGAGAGGGAUGUAGAAUUCCAGGUGUAGCGGUGAAAUGCGUAGAUAUCUGGAGGAAUACCGGUGGCGAAGGCGGGUCUCUGGGCCGAUACUGACGCUGAGGAGCGAAAGCGUGGGGAGCGAACAGG